rnacentral:pre_miRNA from 11 species
AACCGCAUGGGAUAAUCUAUUAUCCCGUGCGGUCGACAUAACGGAGCCGCACGGGAUAAUGGAUUACCCCAUUUGGCU